rnacentral:rRNA from 1 species
ACGGAGGGUGCAAGCGUUAAUCGGAAUUACUGGGCGUAAAGCGCGCGUAGGCGGUUUGGUAAGUCAGACGUGAAAGCCCUCGGCUCAACCGGGGAACUGCGUUUGAUACUGCCGGACUCGAGUCCCGGAGAGGGUGGCGGAAUUCCAGGUGUAGCAGUGAAAUGCGUAGAUAUCUGGAGGAACACCGGUGGCGAAGGCGGCCACCUGGACGAAUACUGACGCUGAGGCGCGAAAGCGUGGGGAGCAAACAG